rfam:Perkinsus marinus ATCC 50983 gcontig_1104296309974, whole genome shotgun sequence.
UUCUAUUCCCCCUGGCCCGUGAAAAAGCCAGUGCUGACAGAUCUUAUAAGUGUGACAACUUAUAUGUUAGCUACUGCUAACUUGAACUGUCACAACAAUUUUUCACUGGGGAGUCGGUGGCUUUGGUCUCUGACCAUGCUCCGACUCGACUGUCGCCUCAGCCCUGCACGACUUGCUGAGUGUGGCGGACCCGAG